rnacentral:rRNA from 1 species
UGCAGUCGACGGUGAAGCAGAGCUUGCUCUGUGGAUCAGUGGCGAACGGGUGAGUAACACGUGAGCAAUCUGCCCCUGACUCUGGGAUAAGCGCUGGAAACGGCGUCUAAUACCGGAUACGAGCUGCGACCGCAUGGUCAGUAGCUGGAAAGAAUUUCGGUCAGGGAUGAGCUCGCGGCCUAUCAGCUUGUUGGUGAGGUAAUGGCUCACCAAGGCGUCGACGGGUAGCCGGCCUGAGAGGGUGACCGGCCACACUGGGACUGAGACACGGCCCAGACUCCUACGGGAGGCAGCAGUGGGGAAUAUUGCACAAUGGGCGCAAGCCUGAUGCAGCAACGCCGCGUGAGGGAUGACGGCCUUCGGGUUGUAAACCUCUUUUAGCAGGGAAGAAGCGAAAGUGACGGUACCUGCAGAAAAAGCGCCGGCUAACUACGUGCCAGCAGCCGCGGUAAUACGUAGGGCGCAAGCGUUAUCCGGAAUUAUUGGGCGUAAAGAGCUCGUAGGCGGUCUGUCGCGUCUGCUGUGAAAACCCGAGGCUCAACCUCGGGCCUGCAGUGGGUACGGGCAGACUAGAGUGCGGUAGGGGAGAUUGGAAUUCCUGGUGUAGCGGUGGAAUGCGCAGAUAUCAGGAGGAACACCGAUGGCGAAGGCAGAUCUCUGGGCCGUAACUGACGCUGAGGAGCGAAAGGGUGGGGAGCAAACAGGCUUAGAUACCCUGGUAGUCCACCCCGUAAACGUUGGGAACUAGUUGUGGGGUCCAUUCCACGGAUUCCGUGACGCAGCUAACGCAUUAAGUUCCCCGCCUGGGGAGUACGGCCGCAAGGCUAAAACUCAAAGGAAUUGACGGGGACCCGCACAAGCGGCGGAGCAUGCGGAUUAAUUCGAUGCAACGCGAAGAACCUUACCAAGGCUUGACAUAUAGAGGAAACGUCUGGAAACAGUCGCCCCGCAAGGUCUCUAUACAGGUGGUGCAUGGUUGUCGUCAGCUCGUGUCGUGAGAUGUUGGGUUAAGUCCCGCAACGAGCGCAACCCUCGUUCUAUGUUGCCAGCACGUAAUGGUGGGAACUCAUGGGAUACUGCCGGGGUCAACUCGGAGGAAGGUGGGGAUGACGUCAAAUCAUCAUGCCCCUUAUGUCUUGGGCUUCACGCAUGCUACAAUGGCCGGUACAAAGGGCUGCAAUACCGUGAGGUGGAGCGAAUCCCAAAAAGCCGGUCCCAGUUCGGAUUGAGGUCUGCAACUCGACCUCAUGAAGUCGGAGUCGCUAGUAAUCGCAGAUCAGCAACGCUGCGGUGAAUACGUUCCCGGGUCUUGUACACACCGCCCGUCAAGUCAUGAAAGUCGGUAACACCUGAAGCCGGUGGCCCAACCCUUGUGGAGGAGC